AUUAGUGGCCAUAGCAAAGGGGAUCACCUGAUACCAUUCCGAACUCAGUAGUUAAGCCCUUUAGCGCCGAAGAUACCAGAGAUGGGAAAAUAGGGAGUUCUGCUU
rnacentral:rRNA from 1 species